AUUGAACGCUGGCGGCAUGCCUUACACAUGCAAGUCGAACGGUAACAGGUUAAGGUGACGAGUGGCGAACAGGUGAGUAAUACAUCGGAACGUGCCCAGACGUGGGGGAUAGCUCGGCGAAAGCCGGAUUAAUACCGCAUAAGCUCUGAGGAGGAAAGCGGGGGACCGUAAGGCCUCGCGCGUUUGGAGCGGCCGAUGGCAGAUUAGGUAGUUGGUGGGGUAAAGGCUUACCAAGCCUACGAUCUGUAGCUGGUCUGAGAGGACGACCAGCCACACUGGGACUGAGACACGGCCCAGACUCCGACGGGAGGCAGCAGUGGGGAAUUUUGGACAAUGGGCGAAAGCCUGAUCCAGCGAUGCCGCGUGCAGGAUGAAGGCCCUCGGGUUGUAAACUGCUUUUGUACGGAACGAAAAGGCGCCUACUAAUACUGGGUGUUGAUGACGGUACCGUAAGAAUAAGCACCGGCUAACUACGUGCCAGCCGCCGCCGUAA
rnacentral:rRNA from 1 species